CAAGACAUUGCCCGAAAAAUGUGUCUUCUAGUUUAAACAAAACUCUCGAUUCUUUUAAGCAACACUUUAAACAUUUUACGUCCUAAAGGGUUAGGCUUAGAAGGCAUGUAAUACGCACGUUUCUUAUAAAACACUGUCUUUAAAACAUUUACCUCCUAAAGGGACCUAUUUAGAAGAGUGUUAGAGGACCUGUAGACUGAACAAAUACUAAGGACAUUACAAUCUAGUAAUUCUUACCCCUUCUGCUGGACUGAAUUUGACCUGGAUGUUGAUGCUGUCACCAGGAUACAGUAGACCACUGGAUGGCAACAUCUCAAAGCUUUAUCGGAGUGGAGCCGGAGCCACAGCUCACAGCUGGACACCAACUCAAGGCAAGUAAUGUUUUUUUUCUCCUUAUCUUUACACAUAGUUAUAAAUCUGUUAUGUAGUUUAAUUAAAUUAAAUCGUUAAAUAGGACUUCAGCUAUACAGUGUAAAGAGAAGACGGCUAACUAGCGGUUAGCCCUAAGAUUAAAUCUACCGAAAAUUAUUUAAGCUGUGAUGUAGAGAGUAGAUACUUCUGUGAGUAAAAUCUAACAUGUUAAAGUUCAAGGCUCAAGGUUUACUUCUUCCUGUGGACAUUUGUUUUUAUUUUUACACCCAUUUCCCCACAAAAAUGUUAGCUUUCUAGCUAACAUGCUACAGAACAGAUUAGUUUAGCACAGCAUGAAUUUUAGCUAACAUGAGCUUAAAAUGGACAUUUCGACUUUAAAUCACAGCAUUUUGUCUGAAGUUGUAAGAUUUUUUUUUGUAUGCUUUUUAAAGUUCUCAGUGAACAUAUUAACACUAUCUUACUGCUAGCUGAAGUUCAGUCGGUUAGUUACAGAAGAUGGCGGAUAGUUACACAAGAUGGCGCUGUCUCUUACCUCAGGUGCUACGAGCACGCACGUUACUGCUGCCGCUUUUUGAGAGAAGUGUUUGUGACUUGUUAAGAAGUUUUGUCAUCAGAAUGAGCGUUUUAACCGUUUAACAGAGAAGGUUUUCUUAGCAAAAACAUUAAAUCAGCUCUUCACUUUAUUGCUGUGUGCCUCACUGUUAAUUCUGAGGGGUAUAAUUCAGCAAAACUGUUUUUCAUGAGUUUCCAGUACUAUACUCGUACUAAAGAGGGUGAGUCUCAUUAAAAAAUACCAAAAAUACCUUUCCACAGUCUUUCUCAGCUCUUGUUUAAAUAUUAACCAUUGAGAUUGAAAGUUUACUGUUUUCUGAUAUGUAUGUCUUUUAUGAAUGAGGUGGACAUUCACCCUACUCCACAGGAUAACCAGACAUUCAAUGGCCUAGAUGGCAGUGGAGUUUUCACAGAGAUGGACUCGUUCCUGCUGUCCACCCCUGUGCCCGUCGUCAUUUUUCCUUCUCUCCUUUACUGGAGGCGCUGGAUUUGAAUCUGACCAUUCUUCCCUCUUCUCACCUGUCAGUCCGCCCUACUCUCAGUGGUCUCCUUAUUUCACCUUUGCUGACUAUCCCAUGUCCCCAGGACACACCCUUUUUUCUUCCCCCUACUGCUCUCCUCAAGAUUACGCACCCACCAGUCCUGUGAAUUAUCAAUAAAAUUACAUAUUACUCAUACUAGGUCUCCCUCAUGUUUAUUUCAUGUCAUUUUUAUCCACAACAUGUCGCAGGAAGCAGUGUCCCUCGAGCUGGU
ensembl:lncRNA